GUUUCAGUGUAUUAAAGAAGCAAACACAGUGGAGGGCCAGCCAGCAUAGCUAUGGUAGCUCCAGAACAAAAAGCCCAGAGGAAAUCAGAGCCUCUUUGUGAACAGCUUCCGUCUCUAGUAUAUUGAAGGAAAGUGACUGACAUGCUGUGGACAUCCCACCUGGGCUUACCUGAGCCGUUUUUCAGAUAUCCAUUUGCAUCUACUGUUGUGUACAUGAUAUAAGGUCCAGGCUGAUUUACUCCAAAAGGCUGCAGGAAGAAAGGAAAUAGUUGGCCUUGAGAAGACUGUAGGACCCUAUGGUAUGAACCUCCUUGACCUUCAAAACAGAGCAUCUGGAAUCUAAGAAAAUGAAUCUAUAAAAAAGCCAUGGGAUGAGUUCACCGAUUACACAAGAAACUAUAAGCUGACCCCAUUGACUCCUCCUGGGAGAGACUGUACCAGAUUAAGUACUGUCAGUCACAAGUAGCUGUGAGAAGACAUUUUGCAAGUGUCUGCCAUGCAGUUUACCCCCUACCUUCCAGAUGUAUUCUUCAAUAUAGCCAGAGCAUCUGGGUAGCCGUCCAUGUUGUAGUCUCCAAUGUGAAGUGUGAGUGGGAUUGGUAUUGUGGUUGGUUGUUCUUCAUGCACAAAUGGCACAAAGCCCCAGAGUGUACCCUUAUUGCUAAAAUCCUGAAGCACAGGAACCCACUAAGGAUAAAGAAAAAAAAAAAAAAAGAGUAUUUAUAAUCACUUUAGGGAAAUAGUCACCAUUUGCAAAAGGAACGAUCCAUCCAAAGUGCUGAAGACAGUCAUCAUUUUAUUUCAUUUUCACAGAAUGGCCGGCAUGAUCAUUUAUUCUGAUGUACGUGUGAGACCCUGGGAGGACUGGUCUUCCAUAGGCUUUGUCCUGAGCAUCUUUGCUUGAACAGCACACAGAGCCACAGGGUCCUCACACAUACAUGCAACCGUAGGAAUGAACAAGCUCUGUCCUCACCUGACAGGCAUCGCACAGACAAGGGGAAUCUACUAUGACACCAAAAUAGAUGGAAGCAAAAGUUUUAGUAAAUCUUCAUGGUCUAUAAUGAUUACAAGGAAGAGAAUAGAAAAGAUUAGCUUGACUGUAAAGUGAGCUUCUUCCCUCUUCUGAUUUGCACAGGUCUCCUCAUGCUUUGAUAAAUUAAUAUAAAACUAGAAUCUGAAGAGUAGAGAUCAUAGCAUUAACAUUACAGCUGUGUCACACUCCCUUAGGAAUCAUUAUGUUAGCAUUGAUCCUAGACAUGUCUUAAGUGGAAGCAGGUAUACUUCAAUUGGCAAGUAGCCAAACAUGCCCACACAUGCAUUUUUUCCCCCUCACAAGCAAAUGGUUAACCUUGAUUGCUGCAAACUAAAGUAUAUUAAAAAUGAUUAAAAAUAAAAGGUCUAGGGAAAAAAAAGACUAUCUCUAAAAUUUUGUAAGUUUUCCUAAGAAAGUUUAAUUUGCCAUUGUGGGGGUUGGGCGGACCCUUAGUGAUAAAACAUUGAAUAAAUUUACUUAAGGAAAAAGUA
rnacentral:lncRNA from 1 species